CGCACGGGUGAGUAACACGUAUCCAACCUGCCGUCUACUCUUGGCCAGCCUUCUGAAAGGAAGAUUAAUCCAGGAUGGCAUCAUGAGUUCACAUGUCCGCAUGAUUAAAGGUAUUUUCCGGUAGACGAUGGGGAUGCGUUCCAUUAGGUAGUAGGCGGGGUAACGGCCCACCUAGUCAACGAUGGAUAGGGGUUCUGAGAGGAAGGUCCCCCACAUUGGAACUGAGACACGGUCCAA
rnacentral:rRNA from 1 species